AGGUAUCCUGAGAACUUACUACAGCUAUCACAAUCCUGUCUAUUGUGUUUUAGGCAACGAAAAACUUGGAGAGCAAGUGCAAUUAGUGUGCCUUUCACACCAGGGUGGAAACUAGCAUGGCAUGUCUUCAUUCAUUUAUCAUCACUGUGCCUGAAGAUCUUAAAGAGACGGCCAGGCACCUUCUCUAUCCUGA